rnacentral:rRNA from 1 species
CAAUAGCGUAUAUUAAAGUUGUUGCAGUUAAAAAGCUCGUAGUUGGAUUUGUGGUGUGUCCAGUCGGCCUUUGCUCUUUGAGUGAUUGUGCUGUUACUGGUCUGCCAUGUUUGGGUGGAAUCUGUGUGGCAUUAAGUUGUCGUGCAGGGGAUGCCCAUCGUUUACUGUGAAAAAUUAGAGUGUUCAAAGCAGGCUUAUGCCUCUGAAUAUAUUAGCAUGGAAUAAUGAUAUAGGACCUUGGUACUAUUUUGUUGGUUUGCGCACUGAGGUAAUGAUGAACAGGGACAGUUGGGGGUAUUUGUAUUUCGUUGUCAGAGGUGAAAUUCUUAGAUUUACGAAAGACAAACUACUGCGAAAGCAUUUACCAAGGAUGUUUUCAUUGAUCAAGAACGAAAGUAUGGGGAUCGAAGAUGAUCAGAUACCAU